AGUGAACGCUGGCGGUAGGCCUAACACAUGCAAGUCGAACGGCAGCACAGUAAGAGCUUGCUCUUACGGGUGGCGAGUGGCGGACGGGUGAGGAAUACAUCGGAAUCUACUUUUUCGUGGAGGAUAACGUAGGGAAACUUACGCUAAUACCGCAUACGACCUACGGGUGAAAGCAGGGGAUCUUCGGACCUUGCGCGAUUGAAUGAGCCGAUGUCGGAUUAGCUAGUUGGCGGGGUAAAGGCCCACCAAGGCGACGAUCCGUAGCUGGUCUGAGAGGAUGAUCAGCCACACUGGAACUGGGACACGGUCCAGGCUCCUACGGGAGGCAGCAGUGGGGAAUAUUGGACAAAGGGCGCAAGCCUGAUCCAGCCAUACCGCGUGGGUGAAGAAGGCCUUCGGGUUGUAAAGCCCUUUUGUUGGGAAAGAAAAGCAGCAGGUUAAUACCCCGCUGUUCUGACGGUACCCAAAGAAUAAGCACCGGCUAACUUCGUG
rnacentral:rRNA from 1 species